GAUGAAGAACGUAGCGAAAUGCGAUAAGUAAUGUGAAUUGCAGAAUUCAGUGAACCAUCGAAUCUUUGAACGCACAUUGCGCCCGGCAGUACUCUGCCGGGCAUGCCUGUUCGAGCGUCAUUUCAACCCUCAAGCCCUGCUUGGUGUUGGGGCCCCACGGCUGCCGUGGGCCCUGAAAGGAAGUGGCGGGCUCGCUACAACUCCGAGCGUAGUAAUUCAUUAUCUCGCUUAGGGCGUUGGGCGGCGCUCCAGCCGUUAAAGAACCAUCUUUAACUCAAGGUUGACCUCGGAUCAGGUAGGAAUACCCGCUGAACUUAAGCAUAUCAAUAAGCGGAGGA
rnacentral:misc_RNA from 1 species